rnacentral:lncRNA from 1 species
CCGGAAUCCCUAAGAGCUGGGGAUCCACGGGCUGCCUGAAAGGCAGAGACUCCGGGUCCUGCCGGUACAGGGCUUCCAGCGUGGGCAUGAGUGCCUGGCGCAGCUCCUCGGGUUUGAAAAUUUUUUUGCGGGGCUGAGAUGGCGAUGUGGAUUGUGAAGUGGUUCCAUUAGUGCCACUUUCCUCUUCCUCCUUAGCAUCUACUUUUAUUUCAGGCUUCUUUUCUUCUAUUUCCAUUGGCUCUUGUUUCAGCUCAGUUCCAUCUGUUUCCUCCUUUGUUUGUGAAGAUCCUUGUAAAUCCUCCUCCACCUCAGUCUUAGCUUCCAC